CCUACGGGAGGCAGCAGUGGGGAAUAUUGCACAAUGGGCGCAAGCCUGAUGCAGCGACGCCGCGUGAGGGAUGACGGCCUUCGGGUUGUAAACCUCUUUCAGUAGGGAAGAAGCGAAAGUGACGGUACCUGCAGAAGAAGCGCCGGCUAACUACGUGCCAGCAGCCGCGGUAAUACGUAGGGCGCAAGCGUUAUCCGGAAUUAUUGGGCGUAAAGAGCUCGUAGGCGGUUUGUCGCGUCUGCCGUGAAAGUCCGGGGCUCAACUCCGGAUCUGCGGUGGGUACGGGCAGACUAGAGUGAUGUAGGGGAGACUGGAAUUCCUGGUGUAGCGGUGAAAUGCGCAGAUAUCAGGAGGAACACCGAUGGCGAAGGCAGGUCUCUGGGCAUUAACUGACGCUGAGGAGCGAAAGCAUGGGGAGCGAACAGGAUUAGAUACCCUGGUAGUCCAUGCCGUAAACGUUGGGCACUAGGUGUGGGGGACGAUUCCACGUUUUCCGCGCCGUAGCUAACGCAUUAAGUGCCCCGCCUGGGGAGUACGGCCGCAAGGCAAAACUCAAAGGAAUUGACGG
rnacentral:rRNA from 1 species